UACGUAGGGGGCAAGCGUUGUCCGGAUUUAUUGGGCGUAAAGAGCGUGUAGGCGGCCUUACAGGUCAGCUGUGAAAACUCGAGGCUCAACCUCGAGACGUCGGUUGAAACCGUAAGGCUAGAGUCCGGAAGAGGAGAGUGGAAUUCCCGGUGUAGCAGUGAAAUGCGUAGAGAUCGGGAGGAACAUCUGUGGCGAAGGCGGCCAUCUGGACCAGCACUGACACUGAGGCACGAAGCGUGGGAGCAACAGG
rnacentral:rRNA from 1 species